UACGUAGGGUGCGAGCGUUAAUCGGAAUUACUGGGCGUAAAGCGUGCGCAGGCGGCUUUGUAAGACAGAUGUGAAAUCCCCGGGCUCAACCUGGGAACUGCAUUUGUGACUGCAAGGCUAGAGUACGGCAGAGGGGGAUGGAAUUCCGCGUGUAGCAGUGAAAUGCGUAGAUAUGUGGAGGAACACCAAUGGCGAAGGCAAUCCCCUGGGCCUGUACUGACGCUCAUGCACGAAAGCGUGGGGAGCAAACAGG
rnacentral:rRNA from 1 species